UACAUUGUUGGAACGCGUCCACAGAAUGUGAGAAAAUGGCGAAUUGACAGUGGGACCUAUCACGUUGAUUGUGUUUUAUAUGUAAUGAAAACUGUUUGGAAACAGAUGUGUGUUAUAUCAAUCGGUAAUUCAAUGUGUAUAUGGUGAAGCGGGGUCAUCAAGAUGGCGAAUAAUAUGUACCGGGUCGGAGAUUAUGUAUAUUUUGAAACAUCCUCAACCUCACCAUAUCAAAUUAGGAGAAUAGAAGAACUUAAUAAGACCCCGAAUGGAAACGUGGAAGCCAAAGUCAUGUGCUUUUAUAGACGCCGAGACAUAUCCUCCUCCCUUAUUAUGUUGGCAGACAAACAUCAGAGUAAGUACCAUUUCAUCUUAUGUUUUAAAUUUUUGGUGGGCUUCGCUUCUUCU